AGUGUUCUCCCCGCAGGUGCUGCAUGGAGUGAGUGGCGGCAUCCACCGUGAGGAGGAGAGGAGCUCUGAUACCCUCAGGACCCGCCAGGAGGGGCAUCACGGAGGCUUCUGGACGACUUGGAGCUGUGUCCUGGGGAGAAAACCGCUCCUGUCUGGGCCCUGAGUGCUGAGGAGGAAGCUGCCAUGCACUUUUCCCUGGCAUUUUUCCUGCAUGGAGAGAGAGGUCCAAGGUGCCCUACAUCGUGCGUCAGUGCGUGGAGGAGAUCGAGCGCCGAGGCAUGGAGGAGAUAACAAGGACGUGUCAGUGAUGAUGAGCGAGAUGGACGUGAACGCCAUCGCAGGCAUGCUGAAGCUGUACUUCCGUGAGCUGCCCGAGCCCCUCUUCACUGACGAGUUCUACCCCAACUUCGCAGAGGGCAUCGCUCUUUCAGACCCAGUUGCAAAGAAGAGCUGCAUGCUCAACCUGCUGUCGUCCCUGCCGGAGGCCAACCUGCUCACCUUCCUUUUCCUUCUAGACCACCUGGAAAGGAUGGCAGAGAAGGAGGCAGUCAAUAAGAUGUCCCUGCACAACCUUGGCACGGUGUUUGGCCCCACGCUGCUCCGGCCCUCCGAGAAGGAGAGCAAGCUCCCUGCCAACCCCAGCCAGCCCAUCACCAUGACUGACAGCUGGUCCUUGGAGGUCAUGUCCCAGAUCCAGAUACCUAAUAAGAUGCUGGAAUGUAAUCCCUGGACAAUCCGUGUCCUGGCAGCAUUUGGUCUUCCUCUAAGCGCCUGGCUCCGCUGUUCUCAGGAGUGGGUUCUGAAGUCUCUGGAGAACAGGAUACGUGGAGGGUUAGGAAGGGGCCAGGCCUAGAGACGGGAGACUCCCUCCCGGAGCAGGUGGAGGCACAGGACCAUUCGCUACCCCAUCUGCCGGCACCUGCGGGGGAGCCCAGGCAUUGUUUGUAAACCCUCCUGACUACCUGACUCAAAGAAAACAGAAGCAUGGAGGCCGCCAAGUAUUUUCAAGAAAUAAUCCCAUGAACGUGGCAUCACUUUUUUAGAAAGAGGGGCUUGGGGCAGGCAGAGGAGAGAAGGGAGAGCAAACUGAGAGCCAAGUUUCCAGACGGUCCUGCAGGAGGAGAGGAUGCAGCUGCGCAGAGGGAAGCAGGAUCACAUUUAAGGAAGUGUGUGGGGUCCCUGGAUGACACCAGCACCCAGUACGGCUCUGUCUGGCAACCGCUCCCAAGGUGGCAGGAGUGGGUGUCCCCUGUGUGUCAGUGGGCAGCUCCUGCUGAGCCCGCAGCUCACUGGGGAGCCUGACAGCGGGGCCAUGUGCCUGACACUCCUCUCUGCUUGUGGACCUGGCAAGGCAGGGAGCAGAAAACAGAGCCACUUGAAGGCUUUCUGUCUGCGUCUGUGUGCAGUGUGGAUUUAGUUGUGCUUUUUUCUUGCUGGGAGAGCACAGCCACCAUUUACAAGCAGUGUCACCCUCGUGGGUGGCGAGGACAGAACAGGAGCCUCUGCUCUCUGUACCUAUCUGGGCCCGGUGGGCUCCCUUGUCCUGGCUUCCAUCUCUGUCUCAGCAACCAUUCAGCCCUGCGCAGGAACACGUGUUGCUUAGAAAAGCCAAAUCCAGCCUUGUCUCUGCCUCCUCUGGUCUCAUGAUGUGCAUCUGUUACCUUGAAACUGGAAA
ensembl:lncRNA novel transcript